CAGUGAUGUCUGAGCAAAUUAUUUAAAUAAGCAAAACUUUCAACAACGGAUCUCUUGGUUCCGGCAUCGAUGAAGAACGCAGCGAAAUGCGAUAAGUAAUGUGGACCGCAGUACUCAGCGACUCAUCGAAUCUUUGAACGCACAUUGCGCCCCUU
rnacentral:rRNA from 9 species